UAAGCCAUGCAAGUCUCAGUACAUGCCGCACUAAGGUGAAACCGCAAAAGGCUCAUUAAAUCAGUUAUGGUUCCUUGGAUCUUAAACAGUUACUUGGAUAACUGUGGUAAUUCUAGAGCUAAUACAUGCAAACAAGUCCCGACCAGAGAUGGGAGGGACGCUUUUAUUAGAUCAAAACCGAUCGGCGUCCGGCUCCGGCCGGCGCCGUCUCUUUUGGUGACUCUGGAUAACUUUUAGCCGAUCGCACGGUCACAGUACCGGCGACGCAUCUUUCAAAUGUCUGACUUAUCAACUGUCGAUGGUAGGCUCUGCGCCUACCAUGGUUGUAACGGGUAACGGGGAAUCAGGGUUCGAUUCCGGAGAGGGAGCCUGAGAAACGGCUACCACAUCCAAGGAAGGCAGCAGGCGCGCAAAUUACCCACUCCCGGCACGGGGAGGUAGUGACGAAAAAUAACGAUACGGGACUCAUCCGAGGCCCCGUAAUCGGAAUGAGUACACUUUAAAUACUUUAACGAGUACCAAUUGGAGGGCAAGUCUGGUGCCAGCAGCCGCGGUAAUUCCAGCUCCAAUAGCGUAUAUUAAAGUUGUUGCGGUUAAAAAGCUCGUAGUUGGAUCUGUGUGCCACGCUGUCGGUUCACCGCCCGUCGGUGUCAACUGGCAUGUCUGUGGGACGUCCUGCCGGUGGCGGUACGGGCUGCCGGCGCUGCGUAGGGGCACAACCCCGAAGCACGCCGGCGUGUCCCGGUCCGCCGAUCCAAUCCCGCCGCGGUGCUCUUCACUGAGUGUCGAGGUGGGCCGGCACGUUUACUUUGAACAAAAUAAAGUGCUCAAAAUAGGUCGUAUUUAGCCCUGAAUACUGUGU
rnacentral:rRNA from 1 species